rnacentral:tRNA from 1 species
GCCGGGGUGGCUUAGCCUGGUUAUAGCGCACGGCUCAUAACCGUGAGGUCGCGGGUUCGGAUCCCGCCCCCGGCA